rnacentral:rRNA from 1 species
GUAGCAGUCUAUAGCGGCAGGCUUAACACAUUGCAAGUCGAAGGGGUAGACGGGGUGCUUGCAUCCGCCGACGACCGGCGACACGGGUGGAGUAACGCGUGAUGACAAUCUGCCUUGUACUGAGGGAUGAGCCCAGAGAAAUUUGGAUUAAUACCUCAUAGUAUAUGGACCCUCUCAUGAGGAUCAUAUUAAAGGUUACGGUACAAGAUGAGUAUGCGUUCUAUUAGCUAGAUGGUAAGGUAACGGCUUACCAUGGCUACGAUAGAUAGGGGCCCUGAGAGGGGGAUCCCCCACACUGGUACUGAGACACGGACCAGACUCCUACGGGAGGCAGCAGUGAGGAAUAUUGGACAAUGGGCGAGAGCCUGAUCCAGCCAUGCCGCGUGCAGGAUGACGGCCCUAUGGGUUGUAAACUGCUUUUAUACAGGAAGAAACACCCCGACGUGUCGGGACUUGACGGUACUGUAAGAAUAAGGAUCGGCUAACUCCGUGCCAGCAGCCGCGGUAAUACGGAGGAUCCAAGCGUUAUCCGGAAUCAUUGGGUUUAAAGGGUCCGUAGGUGGACAAUUAAGUCAGAGGUGAAAUCCUGCAGCUCAACUGUAGAAUAGCCUCUGAUACUGGUUGUCUUGAGUUAUUAUGAAGUAGUUAGAAUAUGUAGUGUAGCGGUGAAAUGCAUAGAUAUUACAUAGAAUACCCAUUGGCGAAGGCAGAUUACUAUUAUUGAACUGACACUGAUGGACGAAAGCGUGGGGAGCGAACAGGAAUUAGAUACCCCUGGUAAGUCCACGCCCGUUAAACGAAUGGGUUACCUAAGUUUGUUUCGGA